rnacentral:rRNA from 1 species
CCUGGCGACGGUUGUCCAGGUUCAAGUGCGUAGGCUGAGUGUUUAGGUAAAUCCGGAUACUCUUAAGGCUGAGACACGACGUCGAGCUACUACGGUAGUGAAGUCAUUGAUGCCAUGCUUCCAGGAAAAGCCUCUAAGCUUCAGAUUGUAAGGAAUCGUACCCCAAACCGACACAGGUGGUCGGGUAGAGAAUACCAAGGCGCUUGAGAGAACUCGGGUGAAGGAACUAGGCAAAAUGGUACCGUAACUUCGGGAGAAGGUACGCUCUUGAUGGUGAAGUCCCUUGCGGAUGGAGCUGACGAGAGUCGCAGAUACCAGGUGGCUGCAACUGUUUAUUAAAAACACAGCACUGUGCAAAAUCGUAAGAUGACGUAUACGGUGUGACGCCUGCCCGGUGCCGGAAGGUUAAUUGAUGGGGUUAGCGUAAGCGAAGCUCUUGAUCGAAGCCCCGGUAAACGGCGGCCGUAACUAUAACGGUCCUAAGGUAGCGAAAUUCCUUGUCGGGUAAGUUCCGACCUGCACGAAUGGCGUAAUGAUGGCCACGCUGUCUCCACCCGAGACUCAGUGAAAUUGAAAUCGCUGUGAAGAUGCAGUGUACCCGCGGCUAGACGGAAAGACCCCGUGAACCUUUACUACAGCUUGGCACUGAACAUUGAACCUACAUGUGUAGGAUAGGUGGGAGGCUUUGAAGACGUGACGCCAGUUGCGUUGGAGCCGUCCUUGAAAUACCACCCUUGUAUGUUUGAUGUUCUAACGUUGGCCCCUAAUCGGGGUUGCGGACAGUGCCUGGUGGGUAGUUUGACUGGGGCGGUCUCCUCCCAAAGAGUAACGGAGGAGCACGAAGGUGGGCUAAUCACGGUUGGACAUCGUGAGGUUAGUGCAAUGGCAUAAGCCCGCUUAACUGCGAGAAUGACGGUUCGAGCAGGUGCGAAAGCAGGUCAUAGUGAUCCGGUGGUUCUGAAUGGAAGGGCCAUCGCUCAACGGAUAAAAGGUACUCCGGGGAUAACAGGCUGAUACCGCCCAAGAGUUCAUAUCGACGGCGGUGUUUGGCACCUCGAUGUCGGCUCAUCACAUCCUGGGGCUGAAGUCGGUCCCAAGGGUAUGGCUGUUCGCCAUUUAAAGUGGUACGCGAGCUGGGUUUAGAACGUCGUGAGACAGUUCGGUCCCUAUCUGCCGUGGGCGUUGGAAGAUUGAAGGGGGCUGCUCCUAGUACGAGAGGACCGGAGUGGACGAACCUCUGGUGUUCGGGUUGUGUCGCCAGACGCAUUGCCCGGUAGCUAAGUUCGGAAUCGAUAACCGCUGAAAGCAUCUAAGCGGGAAGCGAGCCCUGAGAUGAGUCUUCCCUGAUACUUUAAGUAUCCU